rnacentral:rRNA from 1 species
AUACAGAGGGUGCAAGCGUUAAUCGGAUUGACUGGGCGUAAAGCGCGUGUAGGCGGCUUAAUAAGUGAAUUGUGAAAGUCCUGGGCUUAACCUAGGGAUUGCGGUUCAUACUGUUAGGCUAGAGUCUAGGAGAGGAAAGUAGAAUUUCCGGUGUAGCGGUGAAAUGCGUAGAUAUCGGAAAGAAUACCAGUGGCGAAGGCGACUUUCUGGCUUAAGACUGACGCUGAGACGCGAAGGCGUGGGUAGC